rnacentral:rRNA from 1 species
UACGUAGGGGGCAAGCGUUGUCCGGAUUUACUGGGCGUAAAGAGCGUGUAGGCGGCCAAACAGGUCCGUUGUGAAAACUGGAGGCUCAACCUCCAGACGUCGACGGAAACCGUAUGGCUAGAGUCCGGAAGAGGAGAGUGGAAUUCCUGGUGUAGCGGUGAAAUGCGUAGAUAUCGAGAGGAACACCUGCGGCGAAGGCGGGUUGCUGGGCCGACACUGACGCUGAUGCGCGAAAGCCAGGGGAGCGAACGGG